CUCCUCGAUCUGCUCAGCAUUCAGGAAACGAUCGCUGGCACAGACGCGCACGGACGGCAGCCCUCGUGGGAUCGAUCGUCCGCUUCUCGACGCUUUACAUAUUUACAAGAAAGAGAAACGCGUGUUUGUGAACAACCUCCAGCAGCGGCUUUCUGUCAACAGCUGCCCCUGUUGGUCGACAGAGUCACGAGGGACCAUAGAGGGGGAACGCGAACCCUCCGGUCACUGGUUUUUCCGCACGUUUGCAGUUUGCCACCGGAGCCAUGGUGGCGGCGGUCCUCAAGCUGUACGUCAUCGGAACGGCGCUGGGCGUCCUCGCCGUCCUCUACGGGAUAGUGGACACCUUUGGUGGGCUGAUGUACGUCCAGGACUGUCCCUACGUCAUGGACUUUGAGCGGCAGACACGGGGGCAGCUCUCCCCGGGCCGCCACCAGAGAGCGUCUCCUCCGGCGAAGAACAUUGGCUCGUGAGGGGCAUGCGUCUCACCUGGGUCUGCUGCUGGAUGGACCAUCUGGCUUCUUCUUUGGCAACGGAUGGGCUACGGGACAUCUGACUUUCGUCGGCACUGAACAGACUGCUGCCAUGCCCACAUGUUCCUAAGAACUCCCGCGUGUGCCACGUGCCUCCAAAACCGGCGGCGUUGGGAGGUCCAAACUUGACAGCAGCAAUGUUGUAGCACUACUGAACAAUUUGCACUAACAAUCGGAAUGUUUUGUCUUGAUAUCUUAAUUUCGGAUUAAAAUGAUUUGUUUUAAA